rnacentral:tRNA from 1 species
AAUUGUGUAGUGGUUUGAGCAUUAGACUAUGACUCUGGAGACCAGGGUUCGAUUCCCAGCUCAGUCA